rnacentral:lncRNA from 1 species
GGUUGUGUUAGGAAGUUACGGGUAUAUGAGAGCAGAAAGAGGAGUUAGUUAGCCUAACUGAUGUAGCAGUUAGGAGAGGCGGGAUAAGUGGUAUAAAAGAGUCGAGUAAUUGUUUAGGGAGGCAGUUAGUUGUUUUGUUAGUUUGUACAGGACGUAUUAUUCCUGUAAGGGGGAGGUUAAGCUCUCUUGCUGUCUACAAGCAUUGUAUUCUUUGUUGUGCAUAAUACUAUGAGAGGUUAUACAGAGGUUUCUGGUGUUUUACGCGUGUGUUGCUUUAGGUUUCUUUAUUAAGAACCUAACAUUUGGUCGACCUGCCGGAUCAAGAAAGGGGUUGACGGAGAUGGAGAGCAUAACAGAGGGAAGGUUGGAGAAUCUUGAAAUCACUGUGGAAGGGAUUAAGGCGGAGACCACUGUGAUACGACGUGACAUGAAGCAAAUGAUGCGACUCAUGGGGGGAGGAACGAACAAUCAAGAUGGAAACUCUGACUGAAGCAGUAAUUCAGUGAACGAUAAUCACGAUAGACAUGAUCAUGGGGGCAUCCAGCAAAAUUGGCAGAAACGAGUAGACCUACCGGCGUUUGAGGGAAUGGAACCGCAGAGCUGGAUUAAUAGGACGGAACGUUUCUUCGACAUCCAGAAGGUAGCGGAGGAGGACAAGGUGGAGCUCGCCUAUAUCGGCAUGGAAGGUAGUGUGAGUUACUAGUUUAAAGUCUGGAAAGAUAAAGCGAAGGACUGCUCAUGGUCUGGUCUGAAAACGGCGUUGUUGAAUCGGUUCGGAGGGGGUUUCAGAGGGGCUGUGUUUGAACAGCUGGCGACGCUACGACAAGAUGGAACGGUGGAGGGGUAUGUCAAAAAUUUUGAAAUUUUGCUGGGGCAAACCCAGGGAUUGGCGGAAGAAUUAGCGUUGGGGUUUUUCCUCGCGGGGCUACGAGAAGACCUUAAGGGACAGGUUCAUAUCCAAGAUCCCCAAGAAUUCAUGGUGGCGGUGAGAAUUGCGCGGGACGUGGAAGAUGCAAUGUUUCGAGCGCGAGGAGGGGUUUGGAAUGGCUUUAGGCCGAAUCCCACGAGUAUGCGAGUCUCGUCGACAGUCGUCCGAGGGGAAACCGAUCGGUUAUCGGUGAAUCGGUCAGGCAGAACGGAGGGAAAUGGCACAAACAGGAAAGAAGGGUCGACGACAGCCAGUAGCGUGAGGGGCAGUACGAUCGGAGGAGGUGAUAACAAAGCAAGGACCGUACGCAACUUACCUUACCCCAAAUAUCUGAAAAGGAGGGAAGAAGGACGCUACUUCUAAUGUGGGGGUCCAUUUGCUCCGGUCCAUCGUUGUUCAGAGAGGAGCCUGCGAGUACUGUUGCUGGCAGAGGAUGAGGAGGACGGCAGAGACGAGGGAACUAGUCUAGAAUCCAAACCUAUGGAUGGGAAAGAGGCAGUGGAUUUGACAGAUGCACAGAGGGCAGAGAUGGAGUUGAUUCUGCAGGCGCACUAUCGAGUUUUUCGAGAGGUGCAAGGGUUACCACCGCUUCGUGAAAUGGUGCACCGAAUACCAUUGAAAGAAGGGGAAAAUCCAGUGAAUGUCCGCCCCUAUCUUUACCCACAUCAUUUAAAAGGAGAAAUUGAGAGGCAAGUGGCUGAUAUGCUUAGUGCGAGAAUAAUCCGAACCAGUUCGAGUCCGUAUUCCAGUCCGGUGAUACUGGUAUGGAAGAAAGAGAAGAGUUGGCGUUUUUGCGUGGAUUAUCGGGCGUUAAAGGGCGACCAUUCUGGACAAAUUUCCUAUCCCUGUUAUCGAAGAGCUCCUGGACGGGUUGAGAGGGGCUGCAUAUUUUUCAAAGAUCGAUCUUAAAGCAGGCUAUCAUCAUAUUAGAAUUGGGGAGGAGGACGUACACAAAACAACAUUUAGGACUCACCAGGGCCACUACGAGUUUCUAGUGCUGCCCUUCGGUCUCACGAAUGCACCGUCUACAUUCCAGAUGCGAUGAAUGACCUUUUACAACGGUAUUUAAGAAAAUUUGUAUUGGUCUUCGAUGAAAUUUUAGUUUACAGUGCCAGUUGGGAAGAGCAUCUUGGGCAUGUAAAUCGGGUGUUGGAAGUGUUAGAAAGGAGCGACUGGAUAGCCAACAAAAAAAAAAUGUGAAUUUGGGAAAAGGAAGAUAGCAUACCUGGGGCAUAAAAUUUCAGAAGUCGAAGUUGAAAUGGAUGGGGACAAGAUCAAGGCGGUUGUAGAAUGGGAAGAACCGAAGACCCUCAAAGCCUUAAGGGGUUUCCUAGGUUUAACAAGGUAUUACAGGAGGUUUGUGAGGGGAUAUGGUAAGAUAGCCAAGUCAUUGACAGAAUUGCUGAAGAAUGGCAAAUUUUUAUGGUCAGAUCAAGCUAGACAUGCCAUGGCAGAGCUGAAAAAGGCGGUCACCACUGCGUCAGUCUUAACUUUACCUGAUUUUAGUCAGGUGUUCCACGUGGAAUGCGAUGCUUCAGGAGGGGGAAUAGGGGUUGUACUGACUCAAAGCAAGAAACCAAUUGCGUUUUUCAGCAAGGCACUGUCGGAAACCUCCAUGAACAAGUCGAUAUACGAAAAGGAGUUAAUGAUGUUGGUUUGGCCAUCCAACAUUGGAGACCUUAUCUAUUGGGGAGGAAGUUUGUGGUGCAUACUGACCAACACAGUUUAAAAUACCUGCUUGAGCAAAGAAUCACCACAUACAGCCAACAAAACUGGAUAGCCAAGUUGAUGGGCUAUGACUUUGAAAUCAUGUACAAAAAAGGGAGUUCCAACACGGUGGCUGAUGCUUUAUCAAGGAAGGGAGAAGGAGAUUCCGAGGAAGCAAAGUUACGGGUAAUGCCCAAGUCUUAUUGGCAGGACUUCCAGGAGGUGUUACAGGAGGUGGAAAGGGGUGAAACGUUGAGGAAGAUAAUAGUUGACAUUAAAAGGGAUCCAAACUGUCACGCAGCAUAUACUUUGGAAAAUAACAGACUACACCACAAGGGGAGACUAGUAAUAUUAGCCACAUCUACUUGGAUUCCCAAAUUAUUGGCUGAAUUUCACGUGACGAGCACAGGUGGGCACUCAUGGGUAUUUAGAACAUACAAGAGAAUAGCCCAAUCUCUUUAUUGGGUGGGCAUGAAGAAAGUCGUCACCGACUUUGUAGCAGGAUGCGUAAUUUGUCAGCAGCACAAGUAUAUGGCAGCCUCGCCCAAGGUCUGUUGCAACCUUUACCGAUACCGCAAGCAAUAUGGGAGGAGAUCAGCAUGGACUUCAUUGUGAAGUUACCCAAAUCCCAGGGUUAUGAUGCCAUUUUGGUUGUGGUGGAUAGGCUGAGCAAAUACGCACAUUUUAUGGCACUUAGACAUCCUUACUCGGCUAGAACAGUAGCGGAGGUAUUUACCCGAGAGGUGGUCAGAUUACAUGGAAUUCCUGUCUCGAUCGUGAGUGACCGAGACCCCGUGUUUCUGAGUAUAUUUUGGAAGGAGCUCUUUAGAAUGCAAGGUACUCAGCUCAAUAUGAGCACUGUAUACCACCCGGCGACGGAUGGACAAACAGAGGUGAUCAAUCGUAUUUUGGAGGGAUAUUUGAGAUGUUUUUGCUCCAAACAGCCCAAAAGUUGGCAUGGAGUGUUACCAUGGGCUGAGUAUUGGUACAACACAAGUUACCAGGGAGCCGCAAGGUGUAUGCCGUUUGAAACGGUCUAUUGUAGAACCCCUCCGUCCUUGAGCAGAUUUGUACUAGGGGAGUCAGCGGUGGAAGUAGUCGCACAACAUCUAAUGACAAGGGAUGAGGCCUUGAAGCAACUGAAAUUUCAUCGUCGUGCCCAUGAUUUAAUGGUGAACCAGGUGAACAGGAAGAGAAGAGACGUGGACAUUGGAGUAGGGGACUGGGUCUACUUGAAGAUUAGACCCCAUAAGCAAUCAUCUAUACCAGUUCGAUUACAUCCCAAACUGGCAGCCCAAUACUUUGGCCCGUUCCAGGUAAUACAGCAGGUGGGCCCGGUGGCAUACCGUCUACAGCUGCCAGAAAAUGCACGGAUACAUGCAGUCUUUCAUGUAUCACAACUUAAAAAGGCGGUGGGAACAAAGAAGAUUGAGAAGGACCUACUAGCCGAGCUACAAGCAGAAGGGCCGACAUAUUGGCCAGUGGGAGUGUUGGAGAGAAGGCAACGGCAACAAGGGAAUGAGACAAUACAGUAGAUCUUGGUUCAAUGGCAAGAGGGCGGCAGAGAAAGGGCUACGUGGGAAGACGAGUUGACUAUCCAAGAUCCAUAUCCUGAAUUUAACUUCAACCUUGGGGACAAGAUUGCUGAAAAAGGGCGGGGGGUAAUGUUAGGAAGUUACGGGUAUGAGAGGAGAAAGAGGAGUUAGUUAGCCUAACUGCUGUAGCAGUUAGGAGAGGCAGGAUAAGUGGUAUAAAAGAGUCGAGUAAUUGUUUAGGAAGGCAGUUAGUUGUUUUGUUAGUUUGUACAGGACGUAUUAUUCCUGUAAGGGGGAGGUUAAGCUCUCUUGCUGUCUACAAACAUUGUAUUCUUUGUUGUGCAUAAUACUACGAGAGGUUAUACAGAGGUUUCUGGUGUGUUUAUGCGUGUGUUGCUUUAGGUUUCUU